CCAUUUAUAAUAAAAUUAUUUACCAUGUUCUUUUGAGGGAAAAUCUCUCCCGUUUACAUGCAUCAGAAUUUAAGUAGGUUGUUACUUUCCGACAUUGGACAUGGAAGUAACGUGGAUGAGUUUCAGUAUAUGCAGUGUCUAAGCGGUACGAUAUUGAAUGAGAUACAGGAAAUUUGUUCUGUUGCCAAUGGAGCUACUAAAAAGGGAAAUUAGUCGGGCAAAAGAAUACAUUGUGAAGCAACUUGAGCUUGAAAUGGGUCAAUCAGUAGAAAUGGGGACUAUACACGCUGAUGAUUUCAUGAGGCGCUUUUGUUCCAAUCUUGGUAUGACUCACUAGACUGUCAAAGCGGCCCAGGAAUCUGUCAAGAAGUCAGAGGAGUUUGAUAUAAGUGGAAUGGUGAUGAAGUGGGUUGUAGAGGAGCCGUUACAGAUAACAUUGUGGACCCGACCACAUCAUUGUGGACUAAUUGGAUGGCCCUUACUGAGUUCCAUUUCCUUCUUCAUGUCGUUUAUGUGGUUUAGUGCUAUCUCACACUUAUCCCUUUGUAUAAUGUAGGUUCUGCUCGAAGCAGUUUCAAUAACAGUGUGGCUAAUCAAAAAUGAAGAUGAGGGCACACAAACAUGGAUAGACAAACAGGACAACGUGUUUGUAAUAUCAAACAAGAAAUCUAAGUAUCCAAUACUUCAAGUAGAUGUAAGUUUGGUGGGCAUAUUCUUACUUAGAGGGAACAUAACAUAAGGCUCAAAAAGGAAUUCGCCGCCUUAUGAAAAACUUGUGGAGCCUAGUCAAGCUAUGAUUACAGAAGAUUUUUCUAAGCUUCAAGUAUCCCAACGGGUGUCCAAAGUUAAUACUGCAUCAAUAGAGAAAUUAUCCAGCUUGCUCACCAUGGAAUGAUCUUCGUGCCAAUUGAAUAUACUUUUAGAGCUGACAUAUUCUAAAUGGAGAAGGCGAAAGGUGGAUGUCCAUAUGGUGCAGGUACUUAUGCAGGGGAUGGGUCAAUCUUUUGUUCAAAAGUUACCUAAGAUAAUCUACGUUGAA